rnacentral:rRNA from 1 species
ACACCUGUGCACUUACUGUGGGUUUCAGAUGCCGUAGCGGGGCCUUCGCGGGCUUGUGAAAGCGUCUGGGCCUGCGUUUAUUACAAACUCUUAUCAGUAUCAGAAUGUGUAUCGCGAUGUAACGCAUCUAUAUACAACUUUCAGCAACGGAUCUCUUGGCUCUCGCAUCGAUGAAGAACGCAGCGAAAUGCGAUAAGUAAUGUGAAUUGCAGAAUUCAGUGAAUCAUCGAAUCUUUGAACGCACCUUGCGCUCCUUGGUAUUCCGAGGAGCAUGCCUGUUUGAGUGUCAUGAAAUCUUCAACCUAUAAACCUUUGCGGGUUUGUUAGGCUUGGACUUGGAGGCUUGCUGGCCCAGUUGUCGGCUCCUCUCAAAUGCAUUAGCUUGAUUCCUUGCGGAUCGGCUCUCGGUGUGAUAAUUGUCUACGCCGCGACCGUGAAGCGUUUGGCGAGCUUCUAACCGUCUCGCAUGAGACAAUUCAUUGACCUCUGACCUCAAAUCAGGUAGGACUACCCGCUGAACUUAAGCAUAUCAAUAAGCGGAGGA